rnacentral:rRNA from 1 species
GGAGUUAGCCGGUGCUUCUUCUGCGAGUAACGUCACAGAUGUAAGGUAUUAACUUACACCCUUUCCUCCUCGCUGAAAGUGCUUUACAACCCGAAGGCCUUCUUCACACACGCGGCAUGGCUGCAUCAGGGUUUCCCCCAUUGUGCAAUAUUCCCCACUGCUGCCUCCCGUAGGAGUCUGGGCCGUGUCUCAGUCCCAGUGUGGCUGAUCAUCCUCUCAGACCAGCUAGGGAUCGUCGCCUAGGUGAGCCUUUACCUCACCUACUAGCUAAUCCCACCUGGGCUUAUCCAUCAGCGCAAGGCCCGAAGGUCCCCUGCUUUCCCCCGUAGGGCGUAUGCGGUAUUAGCAGUCGUUUCCAACUGUUAUCCCCCACAAAUGGGCAAAUUCCCAGGCAUUACUCACCCGUCCGCCGCUCGUCAUCUUCAAAAGCAAGCUUUUGAAAUGUUACCGCUCGACUUGCAUGUGUUAGGCCUGCCGCCAGCGUUCAAUCUGAGCANNANACAACUACUNA